rnacentral:rRNA from 1 species
AGCGAACGCUGGCGGCAGGCUUAACACAUGCAAGUCGAGCGGGCACUUCGGUGUCAGCGGCAGACGGGUGAGUAACACGUGGGAACGUGCCCUUCGGUUCGGAAUAACUCAGGGAAACUUGAGCUAAUACCGGAUACGCCCUUUUGGGGAAAGGUUUACUGCCGAAGGAUCGGCCCGCGUCUGAUUAGCUAGUUGGUGGGGUAAUGGCCUACCAAGGCGACGAUCAGUAGCUGGUCUGAGAGGAUGAUCAGCCACACUGGGACUGAGACACGGCCCAGACUCCUACGGGAGGCAGCAGUGGGGAAUAUUGGACAAUGGGCGCAAGCCUGAUCCAGCCAUGCCGCGUGAGUGAUGAAGGCCUUAGGGUUGUAAAGCUCUUUCGACGGGGACGAUAAUGACGGUACCCGUAGAAGAAGCCCCGGCUAACUUCGUGCCAGCAGCCGCCGUAAG